GUUCCUUAAGGGAAGGACAGAGGAACAUCCUCUUCAGACUGACACAAAAAGGGUUAAAGACAUUUCCAAAUCUCCCUGCAAUCCAGGAGGAAGGGUGGAUUUUUUUUUUUUCCAUCCUCCAUCAAGUACAGAGGCUCUGAGCGCAGAAGAAUUUCACUACAAUGCUGCAAGUUUCAUUUCAUAACAGGAAACAAAAGAGAACGUGAUUGUUUGACCUGG